UACGUAGGGGCCUAGCGUUGUCCGGAUUUAUUGGGCGUAAAGAGCUCGUAGGCGGUUCGGUAAGUCAGGUGUGAAAUCUCCACGCUCAACGUGGAGGCGCCACCUGAAACUGCCGUGACUCGAGUCCGGUAGGGGAGUGUGGAAUUCCCGGUGUAGCGGUGAAAUGCGCAGAUAUCGGGAGGAACACCGGUGGCGAAGGCGGCGAACUGGACAGUAACUGACACUCAACUGCGAAAGCGUGGGGAGCAAACAGG
rnacentral:rRNA from 1 species